rnacentral:misc_RNA from 1 species
UUUCCGUAGGUGAACCUGCGGAAGGAUCAUUAAAGAGUAAGGGUCUUCGGGCCCGAUCUCCAACCCUUUGUUUAACUACCAUGUUGCUUUGGCGGGCCCGUCUCACGACCGCCGGAAGUUUGGCUUCGACCAAACUUCUGGCCCGUGCCCGUCAGUGGCCCCUUCAAACUCUUGAUCAAGUAUGAUGUCUUAGUUAAAAACUUAAUAGUUAAAACUUUCAACAACGGAUCUCUUGGUUCUGGCAUCGAGGAAGAACGCAGC